rnacentral:tRNA from 1 species
AGCUUUUUAGUUUAUUUUAAAAUAUCUGCUUGUGGUGUGGGUGAAGUUGAGCUU